rnacentral:rRNA from 1 species
UACGUAGGGGGCGAGCGUUGUCCGGAGUUACUGGGCGUAAAGGGCAUGCAGGCGGUCCGACACGUUUUGUGUGACAGCGGGUGGCUUAACUACCCGAGGAUACGAAAGACGGUAGGACUUGAGGACUCGAGAGGGACACGGAAUUCCGGGUGGAGUGGUGAAAUGCGUAGAGAUCCGGAGGAACACCGAAGGCGAAGGCAGUGUCCUGGCGCGUAACUGACGCUGAGGUGCGAAAGCCAGGGGAGCGAACGGG